AUGACUUUCAUCACCAUCUUCAUCUGGACACUUUUGUGUUGUUUUAAAGGAUCCAGAGGUCAGGUCACAGUGACUCAGACUCCUGCAGCGAAAGCAGCUCUUCCAGGAGACACUGUUAUAAUCAGCUGUAAAACCAGCACUCCACCAGCCUGUAGCCCACCCUGUUUAAACUGGUACCAACAGAAACCUGGAGAGGCUCCGAAACUCCUGAUUUAUUAUACAAGCACCCGUCAGUCUGGAGUCCCAAGUCGUUUCAGUGGCAGUGGAUCUGGGACUGACUUCACUCUGACCGUCAGUAACAUCCAGACUGAAGAUGCAGGAGAUUAUUACUGUCAGAGCGUACAUGAUAUCGGUGGCUAUUGGAGUGGCACUAUCUUGGCAUUCACACAGUGA